UACGUAGGGGGCAAGCGUUGUCCGGAUUUAUUGGGCGUAAAGAGCGUGUAGGCGGCCAGAUAGGUCAGCUGUGAAAACUCGAGGCUCAACCUCGAGAUGUCGGCUGAAACCAUCUGGCUAGAGUCCGGAAGAGGAGAGUGGAAUUCCUGGUGUAGCGGUGAAAUGCGCAGAUAUCAGGAAGAACACCCGUGGCGAAGGCGGCUCUCUGGGACGGUACUGGACGCUGAGGCACGAAAGCGUGGGGAGCAAACAGG
rnacentral:rRNA from 1 species